rnacentral:tRNA from 1 species
AAACAAGAAGCAAAAGCAACUAAUUUCGACCUAGUAAUAUGACAUUAUAUGUCCUUGUUUU